UGACACAGCUCAGUACACGUGGCUAACCUGCCCUUGGGAUAGGAACACCCCGGGAAACUGGGGCUAAUUCCNAAUAGGCGAAGAACUCUGGAAUGAGUCUCACCGAAAAGACUCCUACAUUAUGCUUGUAGGUUUCGCCCAAGGAUGGGGCCGCGACCGAUCAGGUUGUUGGUGAGGUAAUGGCUCACCAAGCCUUUUACCGGUGCGGGCCGUGAGAGCGGGAGCCCGGAGAUGGGCACUGAGACAAGGGCCCAGGCCCUACGGGGCGCAGCAGUCGCGAAAACUUUGCAAUACACGCAAGUGUGACAGGGCUAUCCCGAGUGCCAUCCGCUGAGGAAGGCUUUUACCCAGUCUAGAACGCUGGGGGAAUAAGGAGAGGGCAAGUCUGGUGUCAGCCGCCGCGGUAAUACCAGCUCUUCGAGUGGUGUGGAUGUUUAUUGGGCCUAAAGCAUCCGUAGCUGGCUAAGUUAGUCCCUUGUUAAAUCCACCGAAUUAAUCGUUGGAUUGCGGGGGAUACUGCUUGGCUAGGGGACGAGAGAGGCAGACGGUAUUUUCGGGGUAGGGGUGAAAUCCUAUAAUCCCGGGAAGACCACCAGUGGCGAAGGCUGUCGGCUAGAACGCGCCCGACGGUGAGGGAUGAAAGCUGGGGGAGCGAACCGGAUUAGAUACCCGGGUAGUCCCAGCUGUAAACGAUGCAGGCUAGGUGUUAGGGCGGCUACGUGCCGCUCUAGUGCCGCAGGGAAGCUGUUAAGCCUGCCGCUUGGGGAGUACGGCCGGCAGGCUGAACUUAAAGGCCA
rnacentral:rRNA from 1 species